rnacentral:rRNA from 1 species
AUUGAACGCUGGCGGCAUGCCUAACACAUGCAAGUCGAACGGUAACAGGCCUAGCUUGCUAGGUGCUGACGAGUGGCGGACGGGUGAGUAACGCGUAGGAAUCUGCCCAGUAGCGGGGAACAACCUGAGGAAACUCAGGCUAAUACCACAUACGCCCUACGGGGGAAAGCAGGGGAUCUUCGGACCUUGCGCUAUUGGAUGAGCCUGCGUCGGAUUAGCUUGUUGGUGGGGUAAAGGCCUACCAAGGCGACGAUCCGUAGCUGGUCUGAGAGGACGAUCAGCCACACUGGGACUGAGACACGGCCCAG